rnacentral:rRNA from 1 species
UACGUAGGGUGCGAGCGUUGUCCGGAAUUACUGGGCGUAAAGAGCUCGUAGGUGGUUUGUCGCGUUGUUCGUGAAAUGCCACAGCUUAACUGUGGGCGUGCGGGCGAUACGGGCAGACUGGAGUACUGCAGGGGAGACUGGAAUUCCUGGUGUAGCGGUGGAAUGCGCAGAUAUCAGGAGGAACACCGGUGGCGAAGGCGGGUCUCUGGGCAGUAACUGACGCUGGAGGAGCGAAAGCGUGGGGAGCGAACAGG